CUGUGUCCAAUGCGGAGAGUGUAGGCCAUCGUGACUUUGAUGGAGAAGAAUUUUGGAAUUCUGCAAAGUGGAGGAUCUACCAGUGUUUGAUGCAUCUCAAGCAUGUUGAGAUUGUUGAUCACGGUAGCAAUUCGCUGGCAUGGGAACCUGUUCUUUCCCUGCUGAAGUUUCUCCUCCAGAAUGCACUCUGGUUGGACAAAAUAGUGAUCGAUAGUACCAAUUCCAAAUCGUCCCAGGCAGUUGAUCCAUGGGGCCUGCUUGAUGUGGCCAGGAUUCUUCUAUCGCUCCCGAAGCGUUCCCCAAGUGCAAAUGUCAUUCUAAGGUAUCCUUCCCAAGGAAGUUCGUCUAAACAUGUGCGUAAAUCCUGAUUAUCUCAUCGACACCAAUGAUGUCUUUUCCUCUGUUUUGUACCUUUACAUUUAUAGGAGAUGUGAUUGAAUGCAACUCCCGGGGCAGAAAUUUGAAAUAAAACUUCCCCUUUCUGUAUGUUUCAACUGGAAACUUUUAGCUCAGCUUAAUAUUGUUUCAGAAGUUACAAUGCAUGUCUUUCUCAGAAUGCAGCUAAUGAGGUUGAUUACCUAAGUGAAUAGCACAGGUUCACAAGCACUUAACUCUUGUCUUGCACCAACAUCCCAAAAGUUUUACAAAGCGCAGCAUCAUCCUUUGAAAUACGCUCUCUUUGUGGACUGAACUAGAGGAAUCCACAUUCUCACUCAAUGAUUUAUGGAUGUGCGAGAGUUGGAUUAUAGUUGUGAGAUUUAUAUGUCAUAAAAGAACAAGUUUGUUGGUAAAAGGUUGUGAUUGAGUUACUAACAUUAGUUUGACCAAACAAAUUACUAAUUACUCUUUGAUUAUUUAUGAAUUUUCAACUUCUGUAACAAUUUACCAAAAUCUAUAUACAUAAUUUGCAGUUUUAGAGUUAUAUCUCCACUCUUGUAUCAAGUUACCAAUUCUAAUUUGAAAGAUUUACCAACCAUCCCCAUUUGAGAUACCAAAUCUUAUUGGAUUGACUGAAAAAUAUUUUUGUGAUUGUUUUCAAAUUAUUAACUUUUAAUUUCGUAACUUUUAUACGAUUGUUUACCUUUGCUUUAUGUUACCAACUUUUUUCUUCGUAACCUUUAUUUGAUUGUUUCCAAAUCACCCUUUUUUUUUUUUAUAAUUUUCAAUACAUGCCAAUCUUUGAAGGCGAAAGUUUUUAUCGAAUUAUCAAUCUUCAUUUAAGCGAGUCACCAAUUUUUCUCCAGUAAGUUAGCAAUUAGUUGAAGGUUAUUAAUUUUUACUUGUUUGACUUAUCUAAGUUUAUUUGAUUGUCUUGAAAAUAAACAAGUACUUAUUUGAUUGUUUCUGAUUUAUUUCCUAGUUAGUAACUGAUCUGUUUACGUAACUUACUAACGUUUUAAAUUGAACAUCUCUUAUAUCAAAUAGCCAACCUUAAUUUGAGUGGUUUAAGAGAAUGUUUCGAUUAACAAUACUAGAUUUAGGUUGUCAAUUCUUGGUUGAAUAACCUAUCGACAUUUAUCAUAAAGUUCCGACAAAUAGAAAAGGGGUAAAAAAAGGGCUUAAAAGGAGGCUCAUUAUCCAGCAACAUAUGUGAGAGGCCACCCCACGACAUUCACAUACCAAUUCCUGCUUUCCCUAAGAAAGGAAAAUUGAACCCCUCCUUGUUGCACAAAUAAACAGAUUGAUCUCGCCAUCCGGUUACGUUAAGGCGUCCCCGCAUAACUGAACCAUACGGAGCUCGAAAUGUAUUGAAAAACUUUUGGAUUUCAGACGGAAAAUUGCCAGUGAAAGUUGGGGAAGUUCGAUCCGAACAUAAGCCAAGACUUGGAAAACUUAAAAUGAAGCGGUAUCAAAGCAUUUUGUCAAACCCAACUUAAUCGCACAUUGUCAAAAGUGGCACAAAAAGAGACGAGCAAUGUAAUUUCCAUACCUAUGUCGUGCAAAUCUAGGGGUGUACAGUGUGGCAUUUUUCCCAUAAAACUAGGGACUUCUCAAGGCACCUCUAAUGCUCCAUUAAGCCAAAGGCUUUGACAGGCCUUUGGAGAUGCAAUUGCAUCUUCUUAAAGCUCUCCAAAGAAUUUGCAGAAUGCCAUUUGCAAUUGUCCAAUGGAUUUUGGAGCCCCAAAGUUUCCUGAGAAAUCCGAACCAAAUGCAUCCUGUGUACUUGUGAUCUCUGACAGCCUUUUUGCAGCUGAAUCACAUCAUGAAAAUCCCAAAGAUCAUGAGGGUCGGUGGGUACUCGUCGAGGCGAUGUCCUUAAUUCAAUGUUAAUUAUCAUCUUCUCCAAUCCAAUUGCCUCCUGAAGAAGAAACUCAGCCAGAUCAAGCAAAAGUUUUGAUUUUCGUCGUCAAAUUCCCACUCUACAAAUUCAACCCUUUUAAGAUGAUUUGCCACACAAUAGAAUUCCUUCUGUGAGCGCCAGAAUUGCUUCUCAUCAAAGGGGCAAAGCUUUGAAAAAUCCCUGUUCUUGAACAGAAAACACACAUGGACAGUAAUUUUUUUUGGAGCUAAUUAAGAGAAAUUAUAAACAUAGCAGUGAUAUUAAGUACAAAAAGAAAAAUGUAAAACAAGCAAGCUUGUUUGAUCUGGUACGAUACAUCUUAAGUUCUCAUAGACCCAAAUGAAUCAAUGAUCACAUCCUUUGCUACUGAACAAUCGACGUUUUUCUUAAGAGAAGGCCAGUUGAUGAUAGCAUCCCCUGAAAGAUGACAUCCAGAUACUCACAAGCUCACCAGCGAUACGCAAUCGUUCAAGGUUCGAUGUAACUCAUGAGACACGCGUUCAGAGCCCAACGAAGCAUCUUCAGCGAUGAUGACAUUAGCAUCGAGAUGGAACUUCUCUAUCUUAGAAGCAGUGCAGAGACUCAGUGCCCUGUCGAUCUCGCUGAUGACAAUAGCAUCAAGUUGGAACCUCUCUAUCUUAGAAGCAUUGCAGAGUCUCACCGCUCUGUCGAUCGAAGGAACAACACACCAAGGGGAGAGAGAGAUCGAUGUAUGGAGUGGAGGUCCAAGUGAAACGCCAUUGCUUGGACAGCACGCUGGUCGUGACCACGUCUUUGAAGGGCAAGAAGGAGAAGAUGCGGUGGAUUAUGACGUCCCGCAAGCGGCUGACGUGAUCAACCUCCUUUGCCGCAGACGCCAUCUCCACGUUGAUGUUUAGAGAAAAUAAGACGAGCGUCUAUGGUGGCCCAACCCUAAUCAGGGUUGUAUGAUAUAUCUUUAUAGGAUCAUCAAAUGUAAAGAUAGAAACAUAAUUAUAGAAAUAUCUCACGAUAUAUAUAAAUUACACAUUAAUACUUCCCGCCACGAAUGGAUUUUGAGGACCUGGAGGGGUUUAAUAAGGUGUUGGUGGAUUGACAUAGAAGCCAAAUCAGAUCAUCGAAAUGCAGACAAAUCAGAUAUUGGAAAUUAUUGUCAUGAGAUUUUGAACAUUGGUCAUGGUAAAAUAAUGGGGAGAUUUUAAUUCUCUGUUAGUAUCUUUGUCAACCUUACUUGACACACCAACCGAUAAAACAUACACAAACAUGCACAUUAGAUACAUGAAAAAAAGAAAGUGAUUUGGAUUAUUUUAGUAAAUCGAUCCAAUUUAUGGUACUAUGAUAAAAUUAGAAGUAAUUUUAAAUCUUUGAGAAACUUUGUGACGAGUGUAUGAUAUUUUAAGUGAUGGGGGUGACUUGUGUUAUGUGCGUAUUAAAGGGCUAUCUUCAAAUUAUCUUUUUGUCAAUUAUUUAGUAUAUACUUUUGCUAUUCGUCUUGCAGUGGGCAAGUAUAUUAUAAUCUUGGGCCGAAAUAUGAAAUUGAAAAACGCUUUUAAUGUCCUAUGUAGUAUAGGGAGAUUGAAGAUUCAUUUGUUUAAUCGAAAGUUUUAACUCCAAGGUAGUUAGCAUUAUUACACUCAAUCAAAACAAUCUUAGUUAGAUUCUAUGCCUCCUCCAAGAUCAAGCAAAAACCAAUAAAAAGGAAAACGGCACGUCCUUUUUUUUUUAUAAAUAAAUUAUUAAAAUUGUAAAGGAUACUGUAUAGUCAUUAUUCGUAUCCAAAUUGAUUAAUAUUGGUAAUUUGAGGGUAAAAAUACUCAAUAUAGAGUGCAGAAGCAUCUACAACUUUUAUUUAUAUGCGUGUUAGAAUAAUUUAUGUACAGCACUUUGUUUCUUUGAUACAAAAAUUGAAUAUAUGAUUGCUUUCUUUCACACAUUUUCUAUUUCCUCCACCAUAACAUUACUAAUUAAGAAUCGUAAUGAUUAAAUUUGUAUUAUUUGUUAAUGGAAAGAAGUUAUUGACAACAUAUGAAGAAACUUGUACAAAUAUACAUAUGGAAACAAAGCAGUGUUGCAAAUUUUGAAUUAUCUUUGUAAAGUUUUUUAUAAAAUAGACAAAAUUAACCGAUUUGGGAUUUGGGAGGGGGGACGCUUCAUAUUGGUAUCUGCUGCGAUGGAAGUGGGUUGCUGUGUUCUACUGUUCUUUAUUUUGUUGAGUAACAUUGAAAGGUGCAUGAUCUAUUUCAAUGCCUGUACCUUUCGCAAAUUAACCGAUUCGUUCUGACGUUUCAUUCUUCUUUUCUUUUGUGGUGAUUGAACCUUCAGUCCUCUUACCUGGAGAAAGCAUGCUAAGUAAAGCUGAUAUCGCAUAGCACGCUUGCGUGGCAUCAUCAAUGAAUUGAAUAUACUUAUUUAGUUUACUUUCGAAGGUCAUGAAGGAAAAAUUACAAAAAAAUCUUAAAUCUAUAGAACUUCUAUCAAUUCUGUAAUAAAUAUUUUAAAAUGAACAAUUUAGUCAUUGAAUUUUUUAAAAUUCGUCAAUUGUUGGCAUUGAUGUCGCCCGUCCUACAUGGCAUAACCUGCAUUCAUGUGAGCAAAUAUUUUAAUGCUUUUUUUUAAUUUUAUUUUUUUUAUCAUUAUUUUAUAAUAUUUUUCUUUUCUUUUCAUUUUCCUUCUUCCUCUACCAAUCACUAGGCCUCGGCGAUGGCUGGUAACCGGGCACAAAUAAUGACUGGCGAGGAUUGCCCUUGUUGGUUUCAAGCUAGGUCGCCCUCGCUUGGAUCUAGAUGGGGGCUGCACAGAGGUGAACCGGAUUCUCCUAUCACACCCAAAAGUGUUCUCCAAGCACGAAAGUCAUUUUUAGGUGUCCGUCCCAAGGAUGUUCGUCUAAACAUGUGCAUAAAUACUGAUUUUUUCGUCAACACAGAUGACUUUUCCUCUGUUAAGUACCCCUCAGCUCAACAUCCACAGGAGAUGUGAUUAAAUGCAUUAGAAAUAUUUAGGCAUCUCCCAUAGAUACUUAGGAUAUUUUUUAUGAUUUUCUAUAUCUAUUUUGAUGUCAAAAUUAUAGAUUCAAGGGAAAAUUCCAAAAAGGGCCCAAGUGUCCUCAUUUUCUUACAUAAGAGUUUAGAGUGAACCUUAUUUCAAAUAAGGGUCUGAAGUAGUUAUACUUGUUUCAAAUAAGAACAUAAUCAAUGACAUUUUUGUCAUUUUUUUCUUUUCUCUUUCCUUUUUCUUUUCUUUCCUUUUUUCUAGUUUUUCUUCCUUCUUCACCGAUGGCUAAUUGGCCAUUGGCAAUGCCUACAAAGGGCUAGGUGAGGGUUGCCCUGGGGGAGAGGUCGCCCCUUGUGGGUGUCAAUGAGGUCGACUCUCUCCGACCCUAGGCCACGGCUUGACACCCAUUGCCAGUAGUAGUCGAGCCCUCACUAGCUCCUAUCAACGAUGGGUGUCGAGCCUUCGCUGGCCCUAGGCGAGGGCUUGCAAGCCGACCCUUGCUAGAUUUGGCAAGGGUGGCCUUGCCCGUAGUCGGUGAAGGCUGACUUCAUUAACGGCCACGAGGGUGGCCCUCGCUGGAUCAAGGGAAGGCGGCCCUCACCCGUUGGCAUUGCUGGGGGCGGCUAGCCACCGGCGAAAAAGGGAGAAGGAAUAAAGAAAAAGGAAUGAAAGAAGAAAAAAAAGGAAAAUGAUGAAAAUGUCCUUACCAAGCUCUUAUUUGAAACAAGUACAAUUACUUCAUCCCUUAUUUGAAACAAAAUCCAUUUUGGGCUCUUAUUUUAAAAAAAUGAAAGUAUUUCGAACCCUUUGAUGCUCCAAUUUACUUACAAAUUUCAAACUCACGACUGAAAAGAAUAGGGUCGAGGAGGUCGGGACCCGACCCCAGACCAAGAACGACAACACAAGGUGGCCAUGUCAGUAACGGCCAAUCUUCUUCAUCUUCUCUCCAUCCUCCUCCUCCUCUCGCUUUGCUCUGUACAUCAAGUCAUCGCCCACCUCGUAUGCUCUUUUUUUUUUUUUUUGGUAAGGACCUCGUAUGCUCUUUUUAUGCAUUAAACUCCAAAAACUUAGGCACUUACCAAACAGUGCCUAAUUAUGAUUUUUGGUUCCCAGAAUCAGUUUGGGAAUGGAAUUGUGUUUGGUAAAAUUUUUGUUCCCGGGAACAGUUUUGGACAAGGAUUAUAAAAAAAAAUGUGAUUCUCGAUCUAGAAAUUAAAAUAGUGAAAGUCUUCUUCUUCCCUUCCACUAUCCCGUGAUUGCCGUCCACCACCGCUUGCUACCGUCCGUCGCCGCCCGUCGCCGGUCAUUGUCCACCGAUUCAACAAGCUCACCGGCGGCAAGCUCAGCCAUCGGCGAGGCUGAGCCUCGUUGGGAGCUAGGCGAGCCUCACCGCGGCUGGACGAGGCCCAUCCAGCCCUAGCGAGGCUCACCCAGCCCCGGUGAGGCUCGCUUGUCCACCGGCGAGGUCGAGCCUCGCGACACCCAGCCUUGCCGGUGGCCAGGUGGGCCUCGCUCAGCCCUGGUGAGGCGCGCCUGGCCACUAGCGGGUGGCUAGGCAGGCCUCGCCCAGCCUUGGUGAGGUCGGCCUAGCCAUNNNNNNNNNNNNNNNNNNNNNNNNNNNNNNNNNNNNNNNNNNNNNNNNNNNNNNNNNNNNNNNNNNNNNNNNNNNNNNNNNNNNNNNNNNNNNNNNNNNNCAUGGAGUCAGGCUUUGGAAGCACAUUAGGCAAGGAUGGGAUGCUUUUGAAAACAGACUUUCCAUUGAAGUGGGAAAUGGUAGGCAUACUAUGUUGCGGGGUGACAUGUGGUGUGGACACACUGCUUUCAAAGACUUAUUCCCAGAUGUGUGUGCACCAGAAACAAGAGAGCUAGGAUGGCUGAUUGUUGGAAGACUGACAACAGGGAAACGGUGUGGUAAAUUAAUAUCUUACAUGGGGCUCAAGAUUAGAAGCUCAAAGCUUUCUUGAAUAUUUUUGAGUUAUUGUAUCGAGCAAUGUUAGAUGUGAGGACGAUAGGCUAUGGAGGAAUGUUGUCCCUCUGGAACUUUUUCUGUCAAAGGCUACUAUUCCGAUCUCUGUUCUACUCAGAUGCAAUUACAACAGAGCACACUUUUCCCGUGGAAAUCUAUUGGGAAAGUCGAGUUUCAAUUGAAGGAUUCUUUUUUUGCUUGGCAAGCUACUUGGGGAUGUAUUCUUACUUCGGAUAAUCUUUAGAAGCGAGGAAAAUACUGGCUAAUAGGCAUACUAUUUUAUUUUUGUGCAAGACUAAAGAAGAGAGCAUGAAUCAUUAAGUUUUACAAUGUUGCUGGACCAGAAAGAUUUGGGCCACAGUUUUUGCAAUUUUAGGAGUAAAUUGGUUGACCUUAGGCACAGUAUGACACAAACUCAGGGCUUGGAGAGGGACUUUCAGUUCGUGUGUCAUAAAGAAAAUAUUACUAAGAUGAUUCCUCUCCUUGUUUUUUUAGCUCAUUUGGAGAAAAAGGAAUAAAAGAGCAUUUCAAGGAGUUGAAUCCUCAUGGGAUUUUUUAAGGGAUAAUUGCUUGUACACUCUCACUUUUGGUGUAGCGGGAAAGUCCAAUGUCACACAUAGUUUGGUGAAAAUGCUGGAAAGUCUUUGUGCAUUAUACUGUAUAUGGGUGUCUUCUGUUUUUGGUCAUUUUGUUAGGGGUGGUACCCCCUUGGUACUUCUUAAUGAAAUCUUAUUUAUCAUUGACGAGAAAAUGAUUGGCCAGAAAUAAUUGCAGCUGAAGUGCAAAUCUCUUUUGAUAUGCAGAAUGGAGACUUUGAAGAGACAUAUUCCUGUUUCCGGUCCAGAGGAUUUGCGCAAAAUCAAUAGAAUUGCCGUGAAGUUCGAGGGAAAUUUUUAUGCUUCUGCCACAAGCCGGGUAUUAUAUGAUGUCCAUGUCCACUGUGCGCAUUUCAUUCUCUUUGAUCUUAUCUUUGAUAGCAUUUUAUGAGGUUGCCCGGGAGGUAGUGCUUACUUAUUCCGUAUCAAGUUUCCAUGUGGAUAGAGGAUGCAUAAACAAACCGGAUAGGCUUGUGCUUAAAAGAAUUUGAAAAGCAUUCUUUAAUUGAGAAUUCCUAUGAUGCGUGCAUUUAUGUAGUAACUGGAACUGUUUAAAUAUUUAAAAUUAGCUUUGCACCAGUGAUAUCAGGUUUGCUCAGUGCUGUGAUAUUGUACGGAGUUUUAAGUUGUAGUUUCAAAUUGAUAUCUACUUUAUUUUCUUUCUAAUUUGAAUUUAAUUAGUUGGUCUAUUAUGAAGUGAUUUAGUGAUUUCUGCUUCCUUUCCCUUUUAGUCUCAUCAUUCGAGGGAGUUAUCUUCGAAGAUGUAAAAUAUGGAUUAGAGUCUCAGAGUACCUUACUUAAGGCGCCAUCUAAUUUUGCGGGGGAUAGCAGUGAGAACUUGGGUAUGAUUUAAGUUCCUGUUAUUUGAUACCAUUGAUAUAGGAAUUGGAAUUUCUGUUUUGUUAUCCCCUUGUAUAUUUACAUAUAUGUAUAUUUCAUCUUACACAAAUUUUCAUUCAUGUGCUUGCACAAUUUUUUUUUUUUUUUGACUCAUUGUUUUGAGGGACUUAAGUCCUAAAAAUUGUUAUGAUAUAGCAUUUGAGUCCUAAAACUUUCAUUGUGUGCGCUUAAGUCCUAAAAUUUGUGAUAGUCAUCCACUUUAGCUCUUCCAUUAGCUCUUUUAUGUUUCAGUGGACGGAAAAUCUACGUGGCUUUUUUAUUUAUUAAUGGCCACAUAGUAUUAAAAGAUUAUAAAAAAAGUCGUGGCAUCUUCCUUCCACUUAAAAUUGAUAGAAUUAAUGGAAUGAAUCAAGUGUAUUCAAUUGCAAGUAUUGUGACUUGAAUGCAUGAAAUUAAAGUUUUAGGACUUAAGCACAUUAGCAUAACAAAUUCUAGGACUGGUCCUCGAAUUGUCCUUUUUUUGGGCUUUACAUGGUACACAUUUAUAUACCCACGACAUGCCAUGCUGCUUAUUUAUAGGGUAAAUGCCCCACUGGCACAUGGAACUUUUGGUGGAUUUUGGUUUUAGUACCCCGAAGUUAAUUUCUUUUUGCCAUUCUUGCUAAUUUGUAACCUCAAAACACAUUUAUACCAUGGGCAGUGGCACAUUGGAAUUGCUUUGUUUCAUUUGUAACCUAUUGAUUUAAGAACCAUAAGAUCUUGGCUGUUUGCUUCAUAGAAUCAGAUAUGCAUUUGUGAAGAAGAAGUUCAACCAGAAAGGGCCAAACACUUGCAUAUUCUGUAACUUCCUCCCACUUAUUUGCCUCAAAAUUUCUGAGUCUCUCUUACGGCGUCAAAAGAUGCAUGCCUGUAAAAGAUAAUUCACAUUACUCUUUUUAUUUUUUUUUAUUUUUUUUUUAUUUUUUUGUUUUCUUUAAGAUUUCAGGACCAAUUCAAGUACAUGAACUUCACAGAGAUUUUUAUUUAGUACUUGCUGAAAAGAAGUGAGUGAGUGAUUGUUUGUCUGUUUUUGCAUAUCCAUUAUCCAUCUAGUGUCACUUGCUCAGAAAGCUUCAAGUUAUAGUAAUUAAAGGUCGUCCUCAGGGUGCAUCUAUCCCUCAUUCCUUUAAUCUUUUUUGCUAUUUGCAUUUGCUGCUGCUAUGCAUGUAUUGAUCCAGCUUCUUGAUGCGCUAACAUAACUUGUAUAUAUUGUAUGUCAUCUCAAGUUAUGCAUCCAAAAAAUCAAGGCCGAAGCCAACCAAUUCCUAAUUCCUUAGCUGUGGAUCAGCCUCAGGCAAAUCAACAGUGGUUAGUUUGGAAAGCUCAGAAUAAUUGUUCCUUCUGGAGUUCAGGCUUCAGCCUGGUUUGGCCUGCCCAUUAAUCAAAUAAGUUGAGCCUCCACUCCUCUAAUCAAAUCUCUCCCUCUGUCUCUUCCUCAUUUUCUCUCCCGCUUGUUCCUCUUCUGCAAUUUCUCUGCAAAUUCUCAUACUCCAGUGGACUUUGUUGCUCUCUCGCUCUUCCAUUCUUUGUAACGCCUCCAUUCCCUAAGUAGCUCAGGUUUUUGAUCUCAAUUCCUUCACAUGCUAUCUCUCAAUUUGCUUUUCAUUUUUCUUUUUUUCUUUUCUUGAAGAAAAGCCAGGAGACUUUUUAGGGUUUAGUUACUUUCCUCAUGUGCUGAUAAGAGUUUCUCUAGUCUUUUUGUCACAUUUCUUGCCAACCUUACUCUUCAUCAUCAUCAGCAGGCAAACGUGCUCGGUUACCUCCUUCCAAUCAAGAUGAAAGGCAAAACUCAGUGGAUUACAUCAGCGAAUUGCCUGACGCCAUAAUCCUUCAUAUCUUCUCCUUCAUGACCACAAAAGAUGCCAUCAAAACCAGCGUCUUGUCCAAGCGAUGGCGUUCUACUUGGACCUCUAAUCAGUAUAUGAGUUUCUCUUUGCCCCCCGACAGUAGCCGGAAAUGCAAGAGCUUCAUCACUUUCGUUGACUCAGUGCUGUCACGCUGCACUGCAAUUAAGGCAAAAAGAUUCCUCUUUGAUGCUCCUUGUUACGCCUUGAUACGAUCAAGUCUUGAUAGGUGGCUCCAGUUUGCCAUCGAGCACGGCAUCGAAGAGGUAUCAGUAAGUCUGCAUUACUGGCACCACAAGGUUUAUGUGUUGCCGCGAAUCUUGUUCUGCUGCACCACGCUGGUGAGUUUGCGUGUGUCCCAAUGCUGUUUUUCAGUGUUCGGCACUGUGAAUUGGUGUUCAUUGAAGACAUUGCGCAUCGAUUAUGCGAAGUUGAACGAUGAUGGGAUGAUGAGAGUUUUGAGUGGCAGCCCUGUUCUGGAGUUCCUUGAGUUGAAAAGUUGCGAGGGCGUCAAGCACAUCAUGGUUGAAUCAAAAAGUUUUAGAGAGUUGGCGAUUGAUUCUCAUAAGUUUUGUGGUCAAGUUUCAAUGUUGAAAAUUUCGGCCCCACAUCUUCUCAAAUUGCGUCUAUUGGGCAAUUCUCGAGGGGGAGAGUUUAGACUAGAUGAAGUCUCUUCCUUGAUUGAGGCGGAGUUAAAUUUCAACAUGGAAAUUUUUGCACUCGAUAAGGUUAAGGCUCAUGCGGAUCUUGUCAAGGGGCUUCUCAACAGGCUGCAUCAUGUCACGAUAUUAGUGAUGGGAAGCUGGUGCCUUCAGGUGUGAACCGAUUCUUUAGCCCUAUUAUUCCUGGUUCAAGUUGCGGACAUGCAUUACACAUUCUGCCAUUUGCUUAGGAUAAAUCGUGAGAUUGUUUAUUGGUGCUUGAUGGUACCAUGCUCAUAAAUUGUUAUUUCAGAGAAACUUUUUCACCUUAUCAACGGGAUGUUUGCUGGAUGAGGCUUUUUUCCUUUUUAUAAAAGAACUUUACACACCUAAGCUGAUAUCACCUUUAUGUGUCCAGCAUUAUAUUGACUUUGAUAAGACUAAAAUCUGAUAUCCUUGUUUGCUCAUUCGUUUGGUCUGUUGGCUAUUGUGAGAGGUUUUUGGAAUUGCAAGCAUGUCUUACGUUUAAUCUUCUUUAGUGCUUAAAGAAAGUAAAGUGAUCAGUUUCUGCUUCUUCCACCACGAUGAUGUGCUUAGGCGCUGUCGCUAAUGGAGGCGAGAAAUAUGUUUCUUCCAUCCUUAAAAUGUCGGCAUCUGAUAUUACUCGGCGCAGCAGGCCAUAAGGGAGUUCCCGAGGCUAUAGCGAAAAUACUCGAAAGUACGCGGCUCUUGGAGAAGUUAUCCUUACAAACGACUUGCACACCCGAUUCUGCGGUACACAACUGCUAGAACCCUCUCAGUUCACUGGGUUAAUUUAACACCAGAUUUGCUUGAACAUAUACAGAUUGUGAAUUUUAGCCUUGGGCUGCAUAUAAACCUGUCAUUUCUUUUCUUCUCGUGAUUGAAAAUCAUUUUUGUACCUGUCUAUUUAAUUGACAUUUUGGAUUCUCAAUAGAUUUAUAUCUCUCUUGGUGUAGUAAAUGCUAUAUUAUACUCUCAAAGCUCGAUGUUUGUCUCAUCUAGUUCCAAAUGUGUAUCUACUCCUUAGUCAUGAUGUUGUACAUCUGCAGAUUGAGUUGAAUACAGACAGUGUAGGCCGUCGUGUCUUUGCUGGAGAAGAAUUUUGGAAUUUUGUAAAGUGGAGGAUCUAUCAGUGUUUGAUGCAUCUCAGGCAUGUUGAGAUUGUUGAUGGCGGUGCCAGUCUGCUGGCAUGGGAACCUGUUCUUUCCCUGCUCAAGUUUCUCCUCCAGAAUGCACUUUUGCUGGACAAAAUAGUGAUCGACAGUACCAAUUCCAAAUCAUCCCAAGCAUUUGAACCGUCACCGCUGCUUGAAGUGGCCCGGAUUCUUCUGUCGCACCCAA
rnacentral:lncRNA from 1 species